UACGUAGGGUGCGAGCGUUAUUCGGAAUUACUGGGCGUAAAGUGUGCGCAGGCGGCCGCGCAAGUCGAGUGUGAAAGCCCCGAGCUUAACUUGGGAACUGCGCUCGAAACUACGUGGCUGGAGUGUGGCAGAGGAAGGUGGAAUUCCAGGUGUAGCGGUGAAAUGCGUAGAGAUCUGGAGGAACACCGAUGGCGAAGGCAGCCUUCUGGGCCAACACUGACGCUCAUGCACGAAAGCGUGGGGAGCAAACAGG
rnacentral:rRNA from 1 species